AGAAGGAAAUUGCUUUCACAGCAAUAUUCAAUUUCCAUUCGCUUCAUUGGCCUCUCACGCUGCUAAUCGAUCAACCAAACGGAACAUUCGCGACUCGUUCCUUUCAUUUUCAUGCGUGCUUCCACUUUUGAAGACUUUGAUAUAGGGCUCUUUACCUGUAUUAUACAAAAGAAAAUUUUGUUAAGCGAAGACAGAUUUUUCAACCGCUCGGAAGAGAAUUAAAAAAAGAGAUAAAGAAAUUGGAGUCGGAAUGAAACAAAAAUGCCAUCCUCUUCCAGAAGGGAGGUUAGGGAGGAGCGACUGUACUGGAAAAAUCUCACAUGGUGAAUUUCUGGGAAACAAACACGUUUUGUAUCGGAAGUUUCUCUGCAAUUCCUUCGUCUACUUCUUCUCAUUGACUUUUGACUUUGCAAUUUAUAAUUGUCUCAUGACUACGAGUGUCCAUUGCUUUCAUCUUUUAAGCUCUUAACAACCUUUCUGUUGUGUCUCAUCUCUCAUUGCAGUUAUACUUCUUGUUGUUCCACAAAGUGUGGAGCAGUAUUACAGCUUUCUCACUGGAGAUCAUUUGAAGUACUGCUCCAAAAACUUGGGUUCCAUCCUCUCAAACUGCUGGAUAUAGAAGGUUGGUUUUGCUUUUUAGACUUCAACUGCUGGAUAUAAAAGAAAGAGAAUGUCAUUCAACAAGUCUCCUCUUUCAAGGCUUAAAAGGAGUCUCUCCCUUCAAUCAUGCUUCCCUGAAGUGAGGUCUGCAGAGGCAUCUGGUUGCAAAUCUCCUGAUGACAAUGCCUCAAGCGUAAAUGGUGGACGUUCUUUUGAUGACAUACGUCAUAAUGUUGAUACCUGCUUGGACAUAGAUGAUCAGGGCAUUUCCCCAGCUUCCAGUGGUGGCAAAACCUCUACUGCAUCAAGGCGUAUAUUCCCUCUAGAAAGCAGGAGUCCGUGCAGAUCAGUUUCUGAUAUCCAGAACUCUAAGUCUGAACUGCUUCAAGCUGUUCCAGAGGCAAUUGGAAGUGAUGCCCAUGUGGCUUUGGAUCUGUCCUCUUGGCCAGGUGGUUCCACCCACCCCAAGAAUGAAACCAGCAAAUCUGAUGCAAGCCCAGUUAGACAAGCUGUGGAUCAUAGUUUUCCAUUGGCUUCAGUGCAUUAUUCAGGUGCAAUUUCUGGGGAGAUAAGAAGCAAUGGCCUUAAAGCAUAUGUUCUCCUGUGUCUUGCUGCACUCAAUGGUGAUUGGAAAAGUGCAAAAGCAUUCCUGGAGUCAAAUCCACAAGCAGUGAGAGCGAGGAUCACAAGGCGUUCAGAAACUGCUCUUCAUAUUGCUGCCGGGGCAAGACAUACAAGGUUUGUUGAGGAGCUAGUUAAAUUAAUGAAACCAGAUGACUUGGCAUUGCAGAACAAGGUUGGAAACACUGCUCUUUGCUUUGCUGCUGCAUCUGGAAUCACAAGGAUUGCUGAGGUAAUGGUGAAUAAGAACAGGGAGUUACCAAUGAUUCGCGGUAGUAAAGGAGUAACACCACUCUACAUGGCUGCAUUAGUAGGUCACAAAGACAUGGUAAGAUAUCUCUACUCUGUGACUGAGGAAGAUAAUUUAACCAAAGAAGAUCGCAUUGGACUUCUUGUUGCUGCUAUUACUGCCAAUCUAUUUGAUGUAGCCUUGCAUAUGCUUCAUGAGGACCCAGAAUUAGCUAUGGCUCGAGAUGGUAAUGGAGACACUGCACUUCAUGUUUUGGCUAGAAAGCCUUUGGCAUUUUACAGUGGAAGUCAGCUAGGAAUUUGGCAUAGGUGCAUCUAUUCAUGUAUUCAUGUGGAAUUACGAAGAAAAUAUCUCUAUUCUUCCACAAGGAAUGAUGAACUAGGCCAUUCAAUCUUACAUGUGGUUCCCACCAUGAAAGUACUAUUUUUGAACUUCCCCAAAUUUCUAGUUCCAGGUUUCAAGUCAGUUUAUGACAAGAAAUUGAUGCAUAUCCAGGCACUUGAGCUUGUCCAGCAACUUUGGGACAAAAUUCUGUCCCUGGAUCAUGACCCAAAGAUUGGGGAGUUAAUCAGAACUCCUUCACGGUUACUAUUUACUGCUGCUGAGUUGGGGAUUGUAGAGUUUAUAACUGUCCUCAUCCGAUCAUAUCCUGAUCUUAUUUGGAAAGUCAAUGACCAAAGUCAAACUAUAUUUCAUGUUGCAGUGGCACAUCGCCAGGAAAAAAUUUUUAAUCUCAUAUAUGAGAUUGGUGCUCAUAAGGAUUAUAUUGCAGCAUAUAAAGACGAGAAGAACAAUAACAUGUUGCAUUUGGCAGGAAAGUUAGCACCAUCGAAUCGACUGAAAAUUGAUUCUGGUGCAGCCUUUCAAUUGCAAAGGGAAUUGCAUUGGUUCAAGGAGGUAGAAAAGAUUAUUCAACCUUCAUACACAGAAAUGAAAAAUGAACAGGGGAGAACACCUCAGAUUCUGUUUACAGAGGAGCACAAGGAUUUAGUGCGAGAAGGUGAGAAGUGGAUGAAGGAUACUGCAUCUUCAUGCAUGGUUGUUGCAACACUCAUUGCCACUGUGAUGUUUGCUGCUGCCUUCUCUGUACCUGGUGGCAACGAUGAUGACACAGGUGAUUGUUGAGGUACCCUGCAAGGUUCGAAGUCAAAUGGGACUGGGACAGUGUAAAAAGUGCUACUGCAAGCCUACUUUUGACCAGGCCAAAUAUUGAAGAAAAGGUCAAUAUGCUAAUUUCAAGCAAGCUCAAAGAAAAUCAUGUAUCAACCAAUUCAAAAGAGACUGAUAUCUGAUCAUGACUUCCAUGAUAGGAGCUGACAUGAGCCGAUGAAACUGUGACAGAGGGGUUAGUACCAACCAAGCUGACAUCGUCACCUAGUCUGGAAAUGGGGCUCAUUCUAAUUCUUUCCUAUCUGAGAAAACACUCUUAAAAGGGACCAAUUGUAAUCUCAAAAGACGGGCUUUGCCUGAGAUGUCAAUGUUACUCUGCCCUUGCCGUAUGCUAUAUUUCUCAGUCUAUCCUUAUCACUGAUUAAUCCAUUCUGUUGCAACCAGGCUUUCCCUUCGGCAUCAACAUCCAUUCCAUUUCUAUUUGCUAUUGAUCAAUGCACCGAACAGCUACCUGGGGUCCGGGCCUGACAUCCUGUAGAGUCGUUGGCAACAAUGCAGGGCUUCAUUGCUGCGGAGCGAGAAUUACCAGUUACAGAUGGUAUGAUGAUGAAGCACAAUUACGUACUUCCAUUGUAAAUAAAGUGUAUAUUUAUUUACUCAUAUGCUAUGAUCUUCACAACUACCUCAACGGAAACCCCAGCAUUUCUUUGUUAUUUUGGUGAAUUUAGGCCAUUGAGAGCAUACGAUGAUGAUUUGGGUUUUUAGUAGGGUUUAUUUUAUGAUUGUAAACAGACUUUGGCGAUGAAGACGAUAACAAUGAGUAGGGUUUGAUGUAUGGCCACGGCUGUAAUAGUAGUCAUUGAUCACCUUGGUGAUGAAUGUGAUCAUAAUAAUGAAGCUUGGUGGUAACGGCGGUGGUCUCCUUCAUGCA